rnacentral:rRNA from 1 species
CCUACGGGAGGCAGCAGUAGGGAAUCUUCCACAAUGGACGAAAGCCUGAUGGAGCAACGCCGCGUGGGUGAAGAAGGGUUUCGGAUCGUAAAGCCCUGUUGGUAGAGAAGAAAGAUCGUGAUAGUAACUGGCCAUUAUUUGACGGUAUUUACUUAGAAAGUCACGGCUAACUACGUGCCAGCAGCCGCGGUAAUACGUAGGUGGCAAGCGUUGUCCGGAUUUAUUGGGCGUAAAGGGAGCGCAGGCGGUUCAAUAAGUCUGAUGUGAAAGCCUUCGGCUUAACCGGAGAAGUGCAUCAGAAACUGGUGGACUUGAGUGCAGAAGAGGAGAGUGGAACUCCAUGUGUAGCGGUGGAAUGCGUAGAUAUAUGGAAGAACACCAGUGGCGAAAGCGGCUCUCUGGUCUGCAACUGACGCUGAGGUUCGAAAGCAUGGGUAGCGAACAGGAUUAGAUACCCUUGUAGUC